GACUUCAAUUGAAAAAGUCAUCAACAACAAAAUUGAAUAACUCAUCAAGAUCUAAAACUUUUAUUUUGGUCAUUUCUUCAUACGACAAAGUGAUAGUAACAUUGUUCACAAAAUUGACAUAUCUCUUAUCUGGUUUUAUAAAAUAUAACACAUAUAUGUAAAAUUUAUGAAUAAUAUUACUAACAUUUCGUCGGAUGAUGAAAUAACAAAAAUAAAAGUUUUAGAUCUUGAUGAGUUAUUCAACUUCGUUGUUGACGACUUUUUCAAUUGAAAUC
rfam:Oryza glumipatula chromosome 11, whole genome shotgun sequence.